CAUCAAAUCCCGGGCUGACAAGGUAAACAUCUGUCGUUCUGCCCCUGAACAUGGCAGUUGUCGCUGUCCCUCACCGGCACCCUGGGUGAUCCAGGAGAAGACAAGGGAGCUUCAGUGGACCCUCCUGAUGGGCGAGCAGGACAUACAGGAGGAGGAGGAGGAGUGAUAUGGGGACGAGAUACCUUGUAACAGGACAUUAUUUCAUAAUGAUUGCCUACAGUUCCCGUGUCGGGCUCUGCAAGGUUGGGUGACCAGAGCCAUCUGGGACUGCCUCCAGGAGGAAUUCAGGUGUGUGAAGGCUACCAGUGUCCUGCAUAACUUCAUGAGAUUGGACACGAGGACCAGGAGGGGAUCUGCAGCUCACCACCGUGUGCCAGAGGAUAAGUCUGCUGCUCUGCAGGAAGUUUCCAGGAUGGGGUCCAACAACGCAGCAAAGGGAGGCUAUCCAGGAGAUCUUCAGCUUCUACUUCUUCGAAGAGGGUUCUGUUCCGUGGCAACAUCAGACACUACACUAUGCACAACCAAAGGCUCUUCUAAGAGGGUGCUGUUCCCUGGCAACACCAUACACUACACUAUGCACAACCAAAGGCUCUUCUAAGAGGGUGCUGUUACCUGGCAACACCAGACACUACACUAUGCACAACCAAAGGCUCUUCUAAGAGGGUGCUGUUCCCUGGCAACACCAUACACUACACUAUGCACAACCAAAGGCUCUUCUAAGAGGGUGCUGUUACCUGGCAACACCAGACACUACACUAUGCACAACCAAAGGCUCUUCUAAGAGGGUGCUGUUCCCUGGCAACACCAUACACUACACUAUGCACAACCAAAGGCUCUUCUAAGAGGGUGCUGUUACCUGGCAACACCAGACACUACACUAUGCACAGCCAAAGGCUCUUCUAAGAGGGUGCUGUUCCCUGGCAACACCAGACACUACACUAUGCACAGCCAAAGGCUCUUCUAAGAGGGUGCUGUUCCCUGGCAACACCAGACACUACACUAUGCACAACCAAAGGCUCUUCUAAGAGGGUGCUGUUCCCUGGCAACACCAUACACUACACUAUGCACAACCAAAGGCUCUUCUAAGAGGGUGCUGUUACCUGGCAACACCAGACACUACACUAUGCACAGCCAAAGGCUCUUCUAAGAGGGUGCUGUUCCUGGCAACACCAGACACUACACUAUGCACAGCCAAAGGCUCUUCUAAGAGGGUGCUGUUCCCUGGCAACACCAGACACUACACUAUGCACAACCAAAGGCUCUUCUAAGAGGGUGCUGUUCCCUGGCAACACCAUACACUACACUAUGCACAACCAAAGGCUCUUCUAAGAGGGUGCUGUUACCUGGCAACACCAGACACUACACUAUGCACAACCAAAGGCUCUUCUAAGAGGGUGCUGUUCCCUGGCAACACCAUACACUACACUAUGCACAACCAAAGGCUCUUCUAAGAGGGUGCUGUUACCUGGCAACACCAGACACUACACUAUGCACAGCCAAAGGCUCUUCUAAGAGGGUGCUGUUCCCUGGCAACACCAGACACUACACUAUGCACAACCAAAGACUCUUCUAUUUUAUUUAUUUUUUGGACUUAAAGCUCAAAGCUUGUGGACCAGAAAUGGAUAGAAGAAGAAUAUUAUGUUGACUAUGUUCUUGCCUAUUAGUUGAACUGUACUGUAUUGUAUUCUUCCCCUGCAAUUCUCUGAAUAAAAAUGUCAAUUUCAAGGUGA